UACGGAGGGAGCAAGCGUUGUUCGGAUUUACUGGGCGUAAAGGGCGGGUAGGCGGCCACCGCAAGUCAGUUGUGAAAUCUCCGGGCUUAACCCGGAAAGGUCAACUGAUACUGCGGGGCUAGAGUGCAGAAGGGGCAACUGGAAUUCUCGGUGUAGCGGUGAAAUGCGUAGAUAUCGAGAGGAACACCUGCGGCGAAGGCGGGUUGCUGGGCUGACACUGACGCUGAACUGCGAAAGCUAGGGGAGCGAACGGG
rnacentral:rRNA from 1 species